rnacentral:rRNA from 1 species
AGAACGAACGCUGGCGGCAUGCCUAACACAUGCAAGUCGAACGAAGCCUUCGGGCUUAGUGGCGCAUGGGUGCGUAACGCGUGGGAACCUGCCUUUAGGUUCGGAAUAACUCUCCGAAAGGGGUGCUAAUACCGAAUAAUGUCUUCGGACCAAAGAUUUAUCGCCUUUAGAUGGGCCCGCGUUGGAUUAGCUAGUUGGUGGGGUAAAGGCCUACCAAGGCGACGAUCCAUAGCUGGUCUUAGAGGAUGAUCAGCCACACUGGGACUGAGACACGGCCCAGACUCCUACGGGAGGCAGCAGUGGGGAAUAUUGGACAUGGGCGCAAGCCUGAUCCAGCCACGCCGCGUGAGUGAUGAAGGCCUUCGGGUCGUAAAGCUCGUGUGGGGAGGGACGAACCGCUGGACGUUCAUAGCGGCCAGCAUGACGGUACCUCCUUAGCAAGCACCGGCUAACUUCGUGCCAGCAGCCGC